GACAGAGGGGGCAAGCGUUGCUCGGAAUCACUGGGCGUAAAGGGCGCGUAGGCGGGAUGGCAAGUCGGUCGUGAAAUCCUUCGGCUCAACCGAAGAACGUCGGCCGAUACUGCCGUUCUUGAGGGAUGCAGAGGAGAUUGGAAUUCCGGGUGUAGCGGUGAAAUGCGCAGAUAUCCGGAGGAACACCGGUGGCGAAGGCGGCUUCCUGGACCGACACUGACGCUGAGGCGCGAAAGCUAGGGGAGCAAACGGG
rnacentral:rRNA from 1 species